rnacentral:rRNA from 1 species
UACAUAGGUCUCGAGCGUUGUUCGGAUUCAUUGGGCGUAAAGGGUGCGUAGGUGGCGCUGUAAGUCAGGUGUGAAAUUUCGGAGCUUAACUCCGAAACUGCAUUUGAUACUGCGGUGCUUGAGGACUGGAGAGGAGACUGGAAUUUACGGUGUAGCAGUGAAAUGCGUAGAGAUCGUAAGGAAGACCAGUGGCGAAGGCGGGUCUCUGGACAGUUCCUGACACUGAGGCACGAAGGCCAGGGGAGCAAACGGG